rnacentral:rRNA from 1 species
UACAGGGGGGGCAAGCGUUGUUCGGAAUUACUGGGCGUAAAGGGCCAGUAGGCGGCCAACUAAGUCCGACGUGAAAUCCCAAAGCUUAACUUUGGAACUGCGUCGGAUACUGGAUGGCUUGAAUUCGGGAGAGGGAUGCAGAAUUCCAGGUGUAGCGGUGAAAUGCGUAGAUAUCUGGAGGAAUACCGGUGGCGAAGGCGGCAUCCUGGACCGACAUUGACGCUGAUGAGCGAAAGCUAGGGGAGCAAACGGG